rnacentral:rRNA from 1 species
CCUACGGGAGGCAGCAGUGAGGAAUAUUGGUCAAUGGGCGUAAGCCUGAACCAGCCAAGUCGCGUGAGGGAUGAAGGUUCUAUGGAUCGUAAACCUCUUUUAUAAGGGAAUAAAGUGCGGGACGUGUCCCGUUUUGUAUGUACCUUAUGAAUAAGGAUCGGCUAACUCCGUGCCAGUAGCCGCGGUAAUACGGAUGAUCCGAGCGUUAUCCGGAUGUAUUGGGUUUAAAGGGUGCGUAGGCGGCCUUUUAAGUCAGCUGUGAAAGUCUGUGGCUCAACCAUAGAAUUGCCGUUGAAACUGGGAGGAUUGAGUAUGUUUGAGGCAGGCGGAAUGCGUGGUGUAGCGGUGAAAUGCUUAGAUAUCACGCAGAACCCCGAUUGCGAAGGCAGCCUGACAAGCCAUGACUGACGCUGAUGCACGAAAGCGUGGGGAUCAAACAGGAUUAGAUACCCUGGUAGUC